rnacentral:rRNA from 1 species
AACGAACGCUGGCGGCAGGCUUAACACAUGCAAGUCGAACGGUUGUAGCAAUACAGCAGUGGCAGACGGGUGAGUAACACGUGGGAACCUUCCUAGGGGUACGGAACAACUCAGGGAAACUUGAGCUAAUACCGUAUACGUCCGUGAGGAGAAAGAUUUAUCGCCCUUAGACGGGCCCGCGUCGGAUUAGCUCGUUGGUGGGGUAACGGCCUACCAAGGCGACGAUCCGUAGCGGGUCUUAGAGGAUGAUCAGCCACACUGGGACUGAGACACGGCGCGGACUCCGACGGGAGGCAGCAGUGGGGAAUCUUGGACAAUGGGCGCAAGCCGGAUCCAGCCAUGCCGCGGGAGUGAAGAAGGUCUUCGGAUUGUAAAGCUCUUUUGCCAGGGACGAUAAUGACCGUACCUGGAGAAUAAGCCCCGGCAAACUUCGUGCCAGCCGCCGCAGUAA